AAUUUUAGUACGUAGGCGUCACGGACAACGAAUCGUGUAUGCUGCUGGCAUGUGCCGGUAGUAUAUCUCGAAGAUUUUU
rfam:Glossina fuscipes fuscipes unplaced genomic scaffold Scaffold28, whole genome shotgun sequence.